GAUGAGCGCUGGCGGCGUGCCUAGUACAUGCAAGUCGAGCGAACGGACGAGAAGCUUGCUUUUCUGAUGUUAGCGGCGGACGGGUGAGUAACACGUGGAUAACCUACCUAUAAGACUGGGAUAACUUCGGGAAACCGGAGCUAAUACCGGAUAAUAUUUUGAACCGCAUGGUUCAAAAGUGAAAGACGGUCUUGCUGUCACUUAUAGAUGGAUCCGCGCUGCAUUAGCUAGUUGGUAAGGUAACGGCUUACCAAGGCAACGAUGCAUAGCCGACCUGAGAGGGUGAUCGGCCACACUGGAACUGAGACACGGUCCAGACUCCUACGGGAGGCAGCAGUAGGGAAUCUUCCGCAAUGGGCGAAAGCCUGACGGAGCAACGCCGCGUGAGUGAUGAAGGUCUUCGGAUCGUAAAACUCUGUUAUUAGGGAAGAACAUAUGUGUAAGUAACCGUGCACAUCUUGACGGUACCUAAUCAGAAAGCCACGGCUAACUACGUG
rnacentral:rRNA from 1 species